AUUGAACGCUGGCGGCAUGCUUUACACACGCAAGUCGAACGGUAACAGGUUAAGCUGACGAGUGGCGAACGGGUGAGUAAUGCAUCGGAACGUGCCCGAUCGUGGGGGAUAACACUUCGAAAGAAGUGCUAAUACCGCAUACGAUCUGAGGAUGAAAGCGGGGGACCGUAAGGCCUCGCGCGAUCGGAGCGGCCGAGUUCAGAUUAGGUAGGUGGUGGGGUAAAGGUUCACCAAGCCGACGUUCUGUAGCUGGUCUGAGAGGACGACCAGCCACACUGGGACUGAGACACGGCCCAGACUCCUACGGGAGGCAGCAGUGGGGAAUUUUGGACAAUGGGCGCAAGCCUGAUCCAGCAAUGCCGCGUGCAGGAAGAAGGCCUUCGGGUUGUAAACUGCUUUUGUACGGAGCGAAAAGGCUCCCUCUAAUACAGGGGGCUCAUGACGGUACCGUAAGAAUAAGCACCGGCUAACUACGUGCCAGCCGCCGCAGUAA
rnacentral:rRNA from 1 species